GCCUUCGUAGUUAAAUGGAUAUAACUGCGGACUUCUAAGCCGUAAUUCGUGGUUCGAUUCCACGCGAAGGCA
rnacentral:tRNA from 1 species